rnacentral:rRNA from 1 species
UACAGAGGGUGCAAGCGUUAAUCGGAAUUACUGGGCGUAAAGCGUGCGUAGUCGGCUUUUCAAGUCGGGUGUGAAAGCCCCGGGCUCAACCUGGGAAUUGCAUUCGAUACUGGAUGGCUAGAGUUCGGCAGAGGGAAGUGGAAUUUCCGGUGUAGCGGUGAAAUGCGUAGAUAUCGGAAGGAACAUCAGUGGCGAAAGCGACUUCCUGGACCAAUACUGACGCUCAUGUGCGAAAGCGUGGGGAGCAAACAGG